rnacentral:rRNA from 1 species
CCUGGCUCAGAGUGAACGCUGGCGGCAGGCCUAACACAUGCAAGUCGAGCGGCAGCGCGUCCGACCACCCUCGGGUGGUCGGAUGGCGGCGAGCGGCGGACGGGUGAGGAAUGCAUCGGAAUCUGCCUCGUUGUGGGGGAUAACGUAGGGAAACUUACGCUAAUACCGCAUACGACCUACGGGUGAAAGUGGGGGACCUUCGGGCCUCACGCGAUGAGAUGAGCCUAGGCCGGAUUAGCUAGUUGGUAGGGUAAAGGCCUACCAAGGCGACGAUCUGUAGCUGGUCUGAGAGGAUGGCCAGCCACACUGGAACUGAGACACGGUCCAGACUCCUACGGGAGGCAGCAGUGGGGAAUAUUGGACAAUGGGGGCAACCCUGAUCCAGCCAUGCCGCGUGUGUGAAGAAGGCCUUCGGGUUGUAAAGCACUUUAAGCGAGGAGGAAGGUUUUUAGUUUAAUACACUAAAGAAUUGACGUUACUCGCAGAAUAAGCACCGGCUAACUCUGUG